UACAGAGGUCUCAAGCGUUGUUCGGAUUCAUUGGGCGUAAAGGGCGCGUAGGCGGCAUGGCAAGUCGGGAGUGAAAGGCCUGGGCUCAACCGAGGAACUGCUUUCGAGACUGCCAAGCUAGAGUGCGGAAGGGGCAUCUGGAAUUCCCAGUGUAGCGGUGGAAUGCGCAGAUAUCAGGAGGAACACCAACGGCGAAGGCAGCUCGCUGGGACGGUACUGACGCUGAGGCGCGAAAGCGUGGGGAGCGAACAGG
rnacentral:rRNA from 1 species